rnacentral:rRNA from 1 species
UACAGAGGUCCCGAGCGUUGUUCGGAUUCAUUGGGCGUAAAGGGUGCGUAGGCGGCGCGGUAAGUCGGGUGUGAAAUCUCGGAGCUUAACUCCGAAACUGCAUUCGAUACUGCCGUGCUUGAGGACUGGAGAGGAGACUGGAAUUUACGGUGUAGCGGUGAAAUGCGUAGAUAUCGUAAGGAAGACCAGUGGCGAAGGCGGGUCUCUGGACAGUUCCUGACGCUGAGGAGCGAAAGCGUGGGGAGCGAACAGG